CAUACGCCACACCGCCUUGGUGGAGGCGCGCAAGCUGCUGGUCCAUCUGCUUCGGGACGAUCUGAAUCUGACCGGCACACAUGUCGGCUGUGACACCUCGCAGUGCGGCGCAUGCACCGUCGAUAUCGAUGGACAAGCGGUCAAAUCCUGCACCGUUCUCGCGGUGAUGGCCGAUGGGUCGUCCAUCACGACGAUCGAGGGCCUAGCACCGACUGGCGGCGCUCUGCAUCCCAUUCAAGCAGCGUUUCACGAACAUCAC
rnacentral:misc_RNA from 1 species